rnacentral:ribozyme from 13 species
CCUGUCUGCAAGUUCCUUAUCCUUAUCUUUUUCUGUUUUUUUCUCUUUCUUUUUCUCAUCUUGGUCGACUUCCUUUGAAACUAGGGAAGAUAAGCUAUGGUGAGAUUU